UACAGAGGGGGCAAGCGUUAUCCGGAGUUACUGGGCGUAAAGGGCGUGUAGGCGGUUUGUUAAGUCUGGCGUGAAAGCUCUCGGCUAAACCGGGAGAGGUCGUUGGAUACUGGCGAACUCGAGGAUGGUAGAGGCAUGUGGAAUUCCGGGUGUAGUGGUGAAAUGCGUAGAGAUCCGGAGGAACACCAGUGGCGAAGGCGACACGCUGGGCCAUACCUGACGCUGAAGCGCGACAGCAUGGGGAGCAAACGGG
rnacentral:rRNA from 1 species